GGCAUAAGCCAGCUUGACUGCGAGCGUGACGGCGCGAGCAGGUGCGAAAGCAGGUCAUAGUGAUCCGGUGGUUCUGAAUGGAAGGGCCAUCGCUCAACGGAUAAAAGGUACUCCGGGGAUAACAGGCUGAUACCGCCCAAGAGUUCAUAUCGACGGCGGUGUUUGGCACCUCGAUGUCGGCUCAUCACAUCCUGGGGCUGAAGUAGGUCCCAAGGGUAUGGCUGUUCGCCAUUUAAAGUGGUACGCGAGCUGGGUUUAGAACGUCGUGAGACAGUUCGGUCCCUAUCUGCCGUGGGCGCUGGAGAACUGAGGGGGGCUGCUCCUAGUACGAGAGGACCGGAGUGGACGCAUCACUGGUGUUCGGGUUGUCAUGCCAAUGGCACUGCCCGGUAGCUAAAUGCGGAAGAGAUAAGUGCUGAAAGCAUCUAAGCACGAAACUUGCCCCGAGAUGAGUUCUCCCUGAGACUUUAGGUCUCCUGAAGGAACGUUGAAGACGACGACGUUGAUAGGCCGGGUGUGUAAGCGCAGCGAUGCGUUGAGCUAACCGGUACUAAUGAACCGUGAGGCUUAACCUUACAACGCCGAAG
rnacentral:rRNA from 1 species